rnacentral:lncRNA from 1 species
UGCAAAUUUCCAUUUUGAUAUGGAUUCCUUACAGAGUCCUAUUGGGUGAAGAAGGAUUGAAAGUCAGUUUUUGAUACUCUGAAAAUAAUGUAACUGAUAAGAAAAAAAUCCAACUUCAAACGAUAGAUUUGAGAAAAAAUAGAACAAAAUAGUAUUAACUAUUUAUGUAUAAAGCAGCCACUUCAUUUUUUAAAAAAGCUUAUUUUGCAUAGAAGAUGGCUGUGUAAAGUAAUUUUUAAAGUGCAGCCUGAAGGGUGCACUAUAUUAAUCUCUCAGGGAGAAAACUGUGGCUCAGCUAGGAAUUUGAUUAUAUACAUUAGCAGUUGGGACAUUUUUAUGUUCCUCUCAGUCUCUUUCAGCCAAGCAUUUGCUGAAUUCCACCUCUUAUGCCGUAGCUUUGUUUAACAGAACCCGUAAUCUCCUAGCAGUCUUUGUUUCUCACAUCUCGGUUCAAGCAGCAGCGCACAAAGCAGCUUGGAAUCAGCAGAAUGGCUGUCAGGGGAUCAGGGUGCUGAGCUGGUGAGGCUGUGAGGAGAGGUGGAAGGAUGAAGAGUAACAUCAACUGAUCUCCUGAUUGUGUGUGACACAUGACAGCCAUGCUUAAGUUCUUGCCUCCUUGAAACAUGGCAGAUUUUUGGCUAAUAGUGUGAGAAAGUUAUACAUUGUGAAUAGCAUUUGUGUGGUCAUUGUGUGAAGUGCUGGUUGGUGGUGCCAACAGAUUGACUGGUGGGCACCAGGAUAGCGAGCUGCACCAUGAUUCCUGGGCCUUAAGUCUGUGCUGCAAUGCACUUCUCUGUUAGGAUAAUCCUGCUAUUGCUUUAGGUGACAGGAAGGUCAGCCUCUCCAGUUACAGCCAGCUCCAUCAUAGUCGUAUCUACAGACAUAGAAAACAUGAUGAAUGGUUCGUGAUUCAUUCUUUGGCUUACAGGGUCUUUGACCUGAAAUGGCGUGUUAUGCAAAGGGAAGAAGCAUUUUGUCCUGUCAUAAAAACUGAAAGUUUUCUCAGUGUAGCAGUAAAAAUGAUUAAGAAUAUGAUGAAGGAAGCUGUAAUCUCUGUGGAAAGAGAGUGAUUUAACUGCGAUUCUUCAGUAAGGAUGUAGUUGAAACAGCAGCUUGAGAACUUUCUCAGCUUCUCUAUUAGAUUGUAUAAAAUGGGUAUAUUACUGUAGUCUCUAGUUUUGUGAUUAGUUUCUCAUUGCAGUUUGGCAGGAACUCUGGAGAAAUUCUAGGAGGUGACUGCUUUGUAAAGCACCACAGAGCCAUCCUCAAAAAUAUUGUAAAAGAAGGGCUUGCCUUAACAAAAAGCUGCUACUUCUUUUCAGUUCGUGCUAUUGUAAGAAUCAACAAGUUGAUUGAACAAGUUGAAUGGUUGGACUGGGUGAUCAUAUGGGUCUUUUCCAACCUUGGUGAUUCUAUGAUUCUGUUUGCUCUAAAGACUUUGCUUUAAGAAACUGUCAUGAUGCAAACAUAACAAUGCAUGUGUUGGCUGCCUCCGUGUGCUACUUCAAGACAGCAAAACAAGCAUUCUGCAUUCUUUGCCAUAGCAGUGGAAAAUAAGCAUCUGACUAUCUGCUUCUUCAGAAAAUAUAAAAUGCAACUUCUGAAAGAAUCUCUACAUACCAAAGCAUUACUUUGUCAGAGAAAUAAUACUUUAUCUAAGAAAAAAGAAUAAAAAACUUAAUAAUCACGGUGUACAGCACUGACAUCUGGUUUAAAGUGUGUUAAAAGCCAACAACUCAAUGUCAGUUUGGUCUGACUUUACGGUAUUACUUGCUUGAUUAUGGCUCUCACUGGGGGAGCAGAGCAUUUUGAUAUCAUCCAAAGCCCCUGAGAACAAUUCAAAGCAGCUGGUAUUCCAUAUAUUACAUAAUUACGAAGCACACAGCACAGUUUGGAAUACUGAAGAGACACCGGGGACCCACUUCUCAAAAUAUUUACAGCCUUUUAUUCUUCUCUAAACAAUCAUUUGCAUAGCAAAAGUGAUAUACAGCGCACCAGCAUGCAGGUUUACUUUAUUUUUGCUUUCUCAAACUUCUCUGGAAGUGGCUGUGUUUAGCAGAGAGUAGGCAGAAGCGAAAUCCAGCCGUCGCCGAUAAAGGCUGUAACGUUGCCAGAAAAAGCUUUGUAUUUACUCUGUCAAUGCAAGAUGGGAAUACUUUCAAAGAAAACCUGAAAGCUGUAUAGAAGCUCUCUUGCCUGUCUUAUGAACGCAUAGCAUGGCACAUAUCUCCUUUGGAAGCAGGGUCACUAGGAACCAGGGGUUGGAAGUGAUCAUGAUGGUGUCGUUGCUGUCUAAAUGAGAUGCAGCGGCUACAUCUUGUUAAGAGUUUUGUGUGAGCGUGCAUUGAUGUGUAUGUGUGUCUUUGUUUUGAAUAAGUUAUUUUUGGUAGUGAGAUCAGCAGAAUUGCUGUGACUGUAUUUUAUCUAAACCGAUUCAAAACCAUGGAAGUUAUAUGCCAGGAAGAAGGGAAAAAGAAAAGAAAAAUCUGGUGGAGUUUCUUUCAUUAUGCAUUUGCAUAAGAGAAAUUAUAGAUGAAGUGAUAAAAGUAAUAGGUGAAUAGUUAACAUUAACAGUCUAUUUUCUCCAUGCUGUAUCAGUAAAAUAUAUGCUCUUCUUGCAUACACACAACUGUUGAACUGCAGACUUCUAUCUGAUCUUAGCACCCACCUCUUACCAUCAUGCCAUGUAUAAAGUGGAUUGUAGAAUGUAAAUGAAAUUCUUUAAAGCACCAAAUUCUUCUCAAGUUUCCUAUUAUGAAAUUAAUGCUUGUCAAAUUUUAGUUUGAAGUGAUCACAAACAAAAAUUUUAGAUAAUAGACAAAUGAAUUUUUAAAGGCCUUUAUGCUGUGUAAUAUAGAUUUUCUCCUUUUGUUUUGAUUUCAAUUAAGAGGCCUUUGAAAGCUAUGUUGUGUGUAGGCCUAAACCCCAAAUUCUUUUUCUCUUUUAUCACAGAGCUUCAAAUCUGUUUUAAACCAAACUUUUACAGCUUAUAAAAUUGUUUUGGGGAUGAACAAAUUAAUAGCUGAAAGUGAGCAUGGGCAAAUUAUUAGAUGCACUACGGGGAGCCUGAUAUUUACAUAUUGUCCAGGAUCUGAAUGGUUGGUAUGAACAGAUAUGAUUACUUGUAAAUCUCUGCACCCCUGCAGGGGGUGUUAUCAUUCAAUUUCCACACAGCAAGGGUUACUGAAACUAAUUUUUGGUGCCUGUUUGCUUCCCACUUUAAAGAUGUUUUAAUACAUUGCAUAAUUUGAACCAAAAGUGAAGGCAUUGUAAGUUCAGAAUCAAAAUGAAAAAUAUCAUGGCAGUCUGAAUAGACCAUUGUAACUGGUUACUGAACAUGGUGACACAGUGUGACAGGUACCACUGUGUAGUUAAACCUGCAAACUGCAAGCUUUACUGAAUUUCUAACUGUUCUUUUGCAGUCUGGUCCACUGCAGAAUUUGACUGUGUGCUGAUAGGUUUCACAACCAUCUUUUUCAAAUCGUGAGAGAGCAGAAAGAAAGGAUGGUAAUGUCAUAUAGAACAAAGAAACAAGCGCCUUCACCAUGUAGUGUCAUGUUAGAUACCUAACUAUAUCUUAUCAGAUCACUGGAUAUUCCAUUUCACUAUUUUUUAACUUAGGCUUAUCACCAGAGUGCCUUCCACAGGAAAUGCCAGAAAAAAAAGAAAUGUUCUUACACCUGCUGGACAGCUAGAGACAAAGUUGUCUUACUUUCUCCAGGAAAACUAUUGAUUAUGUUUUGAUGUAUCCUGUCUCUGUAACAGCUGCAGGAAUGCUCAGACAGGAGACCAUACCAUCAACUGUUCAUUUCUAAUUCAUCUCAUCUUCUGGUUAACAUUCCUUGUGAUUCUGCCUGCUUUGCCUUGCAAGCGUUCCUCUGCAGAGACAACAUUGUGAAGGAAAAAGAGGUGAGCUGAAGGACAAAUGAGAUUAAUUUAUGACAUAGGUAAUCAAGGAGCCACAAAGGAAAACACUUAGAUCAACCUUGUACUUACAAACAAGGAAUAUUUGGUUGGGGAUUUUGAGGCUUGGAGAAGUCUUGGCUGUAUUUACCAUGAAAUGAAGAAGUUCAGCAUCCUGAAAGGAGGUAAUGAUCAAAAGCAAGAUUACAGUGCUGAGUUUCUGAACAGCCUUUGGCCUGUUGAUGAACCUGCUUGGAAGGAUCCCAUGGGACAUGGCCGCAGAGAGAACAGCCAGAUGAGCUGGUUAAUUUUCAGCAAUCUCCAAGCUCCACAACUGUCCAUCUUGAAAUACGGGAAUUCAAUCAAGUAAAGCCAGUAAGAGGCUCGUAGGAUGAACGAGCUGGUUCUGACAAAACUCAGGCAUAAAAAAGAAGUAGAAAAGAGGUGGAAGCAGAGGGUGACUCAGAAGGAGCAUAAGGACACUAUCCAAGAACAUAGGAACGUGAUAAGGAAAACCAAAGUCAUUAAAAAACAAAAAUAAUAAUAAAAGACCCCACAAACAACAACAAAAAACCCUAUAAACAAAAUAGAUAUGAAUAUAAAGUAAAGGCUUAGAUCUUGGAUCUUACUGAUGGAGAAUUUCUAAUCAGAAAUGGAUCUCUAUAUCCUGAAACCAGUUAUCCUAAUAAUCGCCACAAAGCAGAAAAGGAAAUCUAGAUUAUUUCUUUUUUAAUCAUGUCUUUCCAGUUUAUCAUUACUAGGCUUUUCUCAGUGCAAUGCUCUGUGUUCCUAAGGGCAGCAAAGGUUUAGCCAUGCACUCAAUUCAAGUGCAAGCUUCCAAUGAAAGGUAUCUAAUCUUUCAACCAAAAUAAGUCCUUUUGCAUUCUGACAUCUUUUAGGACACCAUUUACUUUGCUGGUUACCCACUAUUGUAGUGGUGAAAACUACACAGUUCUAUUUUGUGUGAUGCUGUGAAUUUUAGAUGAGACUUGAAAGCAGUCUGCAGUCAUGACUGAAAUACUCCUGCAGUUUUGAUAAUUUAUUCAGAAAUAGCAGAAACCUCUCUCACAGUGAGUUUGCUGAACUCCCAAUAAUACCAUUCCCCCUUCUCAUCUGCACUGGACAAGGGGGAAUGGUUUUAAACUGAGACAGGGGAGGUUUAGAUUAGAUAUUAGGAGGAAGUUUUUCACACAGAGGGUGGUGACACACUAGAACAGGUUGCCCAAGGAGGCUGUGGAUGCCCCCAUCCCUGGAGGCAUUCAAGUCCAGGCUGGAUGUGGCUCUGGGCAGCCUAGUCUGGUGGUUGGUGACCCUGCUCAUAGCAGGGGGGGGUUGAAACGUGAUGAUCAUUGUGGUCCCUUUCAACCCAGGCCAUUCUGUGAUUCUGUGUGAUUCUGUGAAUAGCGUUCCCGGUCUAUAACAUAUACCUGGGAAAUGCCCCUGCAAAGAUGGGUGACUAUGUCCAUCUGCUGUCCCUACAGAAAGAGAAUUAUCAACAUAAUUAUAUGAUGAGGUUCAUAUUCUUUCGGUACUGCCUGUUUUAACACUGUUCUAACUUUUUCAAAAGCCAUACAUUGAGGAAUCCUACUAUAUGUGUUUUUUAACAUAAAAACAUCCUUUGAGUUUGUAUUUUGAUGUUGAAUUUAGAACACUUCAGAGGCAAAAGCUUGGAGACUUCAGCUGUGUACUCUUCUCUAUAUAGUGUCUGCUCAUAUUGAUAGUAUCAAAUCUGAUUAAAUGAAUUCCUCUGGAGCCUCUAAGAAAAAUCCAUAAAUGAACUACAAAUAAAACAGCAAAAGUAGACCUACGUGGAUUUCAGAAUUGUUGCCAGAGCACAACACCUGUUAAGGAAACUCCAUUAAUUGCUACUAAUAAAAUUGAUCCCUCAAUGGCUGCACAGAGCUCUCUAGCCAAACAGGGGAUCCUUCUACACUGCAACUACAAAGGAAAUUAUGAGCUAAACAUCCAACUUCCUGAAUGACUCUGGUCUGCCCAUCAGACACAUACAGGCUCAGCUUUUCACCCUGACACUUCAAACGUGUGCAUGCCAAUGAAAAGGUGAUGUUUGACAAGAGUUAAAUUUAAAACAGAUUUUUGUUCCCUUCUCACGUAGGUUUUGCUCAGCAGUUAGCGUAGAUUUCAAGUAGACAGUUUUUCUGAUUGUUACCACUCCAAAAUACUGUUCCCUUAUAUUCUGACAUCUUUUAGAACAUCUCUUACCACUUCAGGCACUUUAAUAGUGACUGCUGGUUCCAUCUUAUGUGAUUAUUAUGUUGCUUAUGGAAACUGGAAACAACAAUGGUAACUGGAAGCCUGUCGACCUCGAUAUAGAUAGAUAUCAAGACUGAGUGAAAAUUCCAUUACUUGCACAUGUGUAUUUUUCUACCCACUAACCUAAAAUAUUCUACAAUCUGUUCUGCCUUUGAAUUUGCAUCUGAAACGGCAGCUGCAGUGAAAGGUACCCAUAGUCCUCUUCAAUGACAUAGGCAGAGAGGAGAACUGCAUGUAGAACAGACUGUAUACAUCUCCAAACUUAUAUAAGAGUGUAACUGCUUUUUUCUUUGUUCAUUUUAAAAGUAUCUUUUAGCUAGCAAAUUGAAGAGAAUCCAUGUGCUGAAAUUACACCAUUUUGUGAUAGUUAAUAAUUACAUUCAAUAUUAUUAUUAAUAAAGUUCAACAAAAGGAGUGUCGUGGAAGAGCAAUAAUAUCCCUUUUUGACAGCUCAAACAUGAAGUAAGCAUUAUUCUAUUGAAUAAGUGCUGUAUCCUGAUAUGAUUAGCUUUAAUUCAUUUUGAAAAGACUUCUUACCUGUUAUGAGAGAGUUGGCUUUUCACAUGUGCUUCAAUUUCUACUACUGGCUUUAAUAAAUACGUUUAACUGGUACUAAUUUUUCUUUGCAAAAACACGCAUAGUAACUUUUGUAAUUUGAAUUACCUUAUUUCUUAACUCUGCAAAGCUGCACUUUAAGAGUCCAGUGCAUCUUGGAACAGGCAAAGAGCCUCUACUGUAAAUAACUCAUCUUGGGAUAUUCAAGGUGGUUAACAGAGUUUAUGUUCUUUUGAACAUUAUUCGUGCAAAUGUUUAAAUAUUGAUCUGUAUGCCAUUGAUACAAAUCAUAACGGAGCCCUUAUUUGCUGAAAGGUUCCAAGAAACAUCACUUUAAAGUGAUCCUUAAGCCAGCCAGUGGAAAGUAAUAUCUUUUUACAAUUCAUGGCAGCUAGCAUUUUGCUACUUGAAAAAAGAAAAUAAAAAUCUAAAGCUUAAUGAAGCAAAUGCAUCAAUUAGGUAAUUAGCUUAAAAAGCAAAAGGGAAUUUUGUGUCACUUUUACUUACUAAACCUCAGCAUGUCUUGUUAAUUUACACAUUAGAUUUUUCUCAUAAAGAGAUUAAUAGACUGUGUGCUUGUAACUGUAUUUAUGUAGUGUAUGGGAACUGUUGAGUCAGGGCCUGAACCACUGAAUGAACACCAGCGGAAAGGACCCGGUCAGCCCUGGGAGCACAGGUGAAGGCAUCUGUUUGACCAGCAGGGGUGGAGCCUGGCUGCACCUCUCUUAGACCUCAUUUAAGGGCUGACUGCCACUGGGGAAGGAUUUCUGGUUGGAGAUCCUUCUCAUGCGGAGUUUUCCCUGUGAGCCUAGAUCUGCGUAGGUGAGUGAGCACCUUUCCUGUUGCUUGUAAUACCGUUCCAUUUGUGCUACCCUCUUUGCUACUAUGCUCCUUUAUCGCCCUUCUAUUGCAUUGACCUUUCUGAUUGUUACAUGUAGGUAGUAAAAAUAACGGUCAUAGAAAAGGAAAUUUGUAAAACCAAAGUAUGAUGCCUACUAUGGAAGAGUAGUUUGCCCUAAAGUAGGUGUCAACAUAUAUAACGCUACAACUAUAUACAACUAUAACAUUAUAGAAUAACGCAGAGGGAGGAUAUCGUGUCUUGGAUGUUGUAUUACAGUAUCAGUAAUUAUCCUUACAGUAAGAGACUUCAGUUUCUCUUUGUUCAAAUGUGAUUCCUUCUGCUAGGGGAGCAGAGUCUUCUAUUUUUCUCUACUUCUGCUUUACAGGCUCCAAAUAUGAUUGCCCUCUUAUGGCUUAUCUUUGUUUUCUUGAACGGAUGUGGCUGUACAUCCUCACUAUUGUACUGCAAAUGCCAGAUGAGACAAAUAAAGGAAAAGGAUUCUUGCAACAAUGUCCUCAUUUGUACUUUGUCAUGAACUGAUUUAAAACAGCUAGUAACCCAUAACUUUUUUUUUUAAAUAGCAUGUAAAACCUGCCUUUUCUCCCUUGAAUUACUUCUACUGUAUUUCUGACGAGUGACAGCUAUUCUUUUUAUAUACACAAUAUUUUUCAGCCUCGCUGUUCUAAGAAACUUGUGAAAGGCUACAGUAGAAAUGAAAUAGUGAACCUUUUCCAGUUUUGUCUGUUUUAUAGUACUAAUAUGCACUCAGUGAAGGCCCAAGUAAAGUAUAACAGUUGUCUUAAAAAUGAAAUUUCUGAGAAAUGUUGCAUAUCUUCGUACCGUGGUUUUCAGUUUUGGGUUUGUUUUUGUGUUUUGUUUUUUUUUUUGGUUUUUUUUUUGCAGGCCUCUUUGGUCACUAAGUGUCCUUAAAUCUUAAGUUCCCUUACGUGAGGUUUUUAAAGCCAUGUACUGUAUCAGUGCUGAUACAGUUCUUGAUGUUCUCAUCACAAACUUCUAGUAGGUGAUACUUUCAUCAUUUCUGCUCUACCAUUAUUGCUUUCUCACGUUGGGAAAUAUCCAAGGAAGAUAUUCCAGCUAGUCUGAACUCUGACCUUGAAUUCUGAGAUCUUGUCCUUGUUUACAACACCUAGUCCUGGAGACUGAUUGGCAACUGACUGUCCUUUGAAAUCAUGGAAGAUUUUCCUUAUUUUUCUAGGAAUGGAUUUGUAGUGACCCACCUAAUUCUUCAAGGAUCUUUGGAAAUUAAUUCUUGAUUCGUUUGGCUAUUGACUGUACAGCUCUUUUUUCCAUUUUGCUAUUAGCCUUUAUCUUUAAGUAAAUUAAAUUGCGUUUAACUGGAUUUUGUGGGUAUCUUGCUUAAAGGUACUUGUAAGGGCUUUUAAAACUCAAUUUGUAACUAUUCUAUACAUCUUAACUGUAACUCAGGACUGUAAAUUCCUUAGAUUGACCACGAAACCUGACUUGUAACCAGAGAGGAGAAGCUUACCGUCAGGCUGUUUUGUGAACUAGCUUUUUGUAGGUAAGCUGUCAACCUGCUAGGUUUGGGAUGUAUCUGUAUGUCAACUACUUGCUAGCUCGGCUUCUGUGCUUCAGCAGAAUAGAGAUGCAGGAAUUUACUUGCCCGAUUCAAGUGAACUCCUAUAACCUAGUUACAACCUAGUUGCAGCAAAAAAAUUUACGUUAAAUCCUUGUGAAAUAAACUAGCAUGCCUCAAAAAUCAGUUUGUACCUCCACAUAUAGUGAGACAGUGUGCUUGAACUAAGGUUACUCAGAGGUAAUAGGUCUGUUUCUGUUCUUCGUUUUACAUUUGCUUUCUCAUCUCCCUCCUGUGCUUGCUACCCUGGCUCACCUUGAGUCCAGAAGCUCUCGCAUGUUCUGACAGACAGCUGGUGUCCCUGUAUGCCCACUGUUUGGCUUUAUUUCCACUUUGGAGUGUCUCUUUGCUACACCUGCCUUUAUCCAUAUUUCCAAUCUGUGUAGGCCAACAGGCACAAAAACAACAGGAAUAUGAGCAAAAAUGUUCAAUUAAGUUUUUGUUAUUGUUGUUUUCCUUUUUCAUUUCUCUUUACUUGUGCCAGGUUGGCUUAGCUUGCAAUCCUACUUAAGCUAGCAAUGGCUUUUUAUCUCAGCAGUGUUGCUGAGGAUGCCCAAUUUCUUGCGAUUGCCAUUGGACUGCCAGCUGCCCUGGACCAUCUCAGUAGUUGUGUCUGUCAGCACUAAAGGACAAGGGCAGCAUUCUUUUGCACAGCUAUAAAACUACUUUGGCAAAGCUGCAAGCAUUGCAGAACAUUAUUGUAGUAGGAUGCAUAAUGCCAUUUCAAUCUUCCACAGUACUGAUACUAAAAAGUAAGAAUCAUGAUACUGCAUAAUAUAUUCUACUCUAAAGCUAUUUAGGUUACAAUUUAAGAGUCUGAGCAUGUCUCUUUCCUCACUAACUCUGUUGUCCAAAUAGACUGGGUUUUACUUUGGAAAUGAGGACAUUUCUUUGGAGACUUUGCCUGACAUACCAGCUCCUUUGCUUUGGAAUCUGAGGCCUCUCUCCCCCUAGUCAGGGUUCCCUAGCUUCCUUUCGGAUUCCUCCAGAAGCUCCUGACCCUGCACUUGAUAUUUUGCUGGUAAAAGUCCCUCUUGUUAGUUCACUGGCAAGCACAGGCCAUGCUUGCAGCAUUGUCCUCACGUUUGGGCCAGACAAGGAUAAGUUUGAUAUAACAAAAGGUUAUAUCAAAUAUAUAUAUAGGCUUGUUAAAGGGCCAUGCCAUAUGUGGCAUUAUAGAAUGAGGCACAAGUCUGAUACCAGCACUACAACAGGAAUACGUAGUAUCUUUGAUAAUACUAGCAAGUUUUAGUCUGUUUCUGAGAGGCUCCAAGCAGUCAAGUUCAUUCUUAACCCCUUGUCUAUUACGUAUCUGCUCCUUAUCUACCCAAGAUAACAGGUAUUCUUGAAUGUGGAAGUAUUUCAGGGAAAGAGGAUAUUAGAGGAGUUCAUCAAGUGAACAAUCUUAUUUAAUAUUCUCCUUAAUGACCUUGACUCACAAAAGAAAUUUGCUGAUAAAGCAGAGAAGGGGUCAAUCUCUAUGCAGAGGAGGAGUUGAAUAGCAAGUAGGAUGAACUAGGUAAUAUUGAGAGCCGUAAAGAAUAAAGAGAUGAAUUUUAAUAUUACAAAAGACAAAGAUGUGCACUGGAAGCAAAUAAUAAUUUCUGCUAUAUUCUGAGUUUCAUCAGUUAGAAUAAAAAGACUUAGGUGCAUUAGACCUUCAUAGUAUGUUUAUGACAUACUGAUGAGAUUUGACAAUGCAAAAAAUGAUAGUAAGAGACAUGUGCUAAGGUAUUUCUAGUCCUUGUAAAGAGCUGUAUCAACUACUUAAAAUGUUAAUGAAGUUCCCUCCACAAUGCCAUGGACAUGUUUGCCAUCAAGAAGGAUGAGAAUAAUGUUGAAAUCGCUGCAAAUAAGGAAUCCUAGGAUUAUUGCAGGUUGGCAGGUAAAGAACACGUUUGUUCAAGAGGAAAUACAUGUCAGCCAGUUUUGUUUACCUCUUGCCUAGCAAAUUUCUGCAGGUAUUGAGACAACAACUGCCACAGCUUUCCAUUUGGAAUAGCAAAUUUAACCAUAUUAGAGAUUACUCUUGGUAAGGUUAUAAACAGGAUUGUGUGUUGCUUGUCUGGUAUUGCUGGAGACUAGAUUAGGUGACACGCAAUUGCUUUGAGUAACAUUUUUUUUUUCCCUUUAAAGAGAGCUCUUAAGCUUCCAAAAAAUGAAAUAGAACUUCAAAAUUCACAUCAGAGCAAAGCAUUCUCACUAGUAGUUAAUCUCUAAAAAAGAGGUAGUGAAGGAUAGAGCUCUGAAUCUCUAUUUACAGAAAUAUUUACAUUUUACAUAAGGGAUUCGGAGGGUCUGUGUUUAGAAUCUGGGACUCUCUGGUCCAGAGUCAAAAACAUUUCUGUCCUUGAGUUUCACAGUAUUUCAUUUCACCCUGAAUCAUGGCCUUUGGUGUUAGUUUUUUUUAUCUGCACUGUAUUUCUGGAUUGUGACAGGAAAUUCAUAAGAAAUUUGUUGAUAACGUGUGUAGUGAUGGAUUAUGAAGACACUUUUAAGCUUUCUUAUCAUUUUGUCCAGAGAGGUUCCUUUAUUUCCAGCCCAAAUUUGGUUAUUGUAAGAAAAAAAAAAAAAAAAAAAUUCCUUGCUUUUUAUUUAGAUGUCAGAUGUUACUGUUGCUUUUUUUUUUUUCUGAAAAAUUUCCUAAGUAUUUUCUCUAAUUAUUUCUUGGUGACAAGACAAAAUUCUGGUUCCUUUCUAAGUUCUCAUUAAAAAUCAUUCUAAAGAUCUCAGAAAACAGGCAUGUAAUUAUUACAAGUGCUUCCAACUGAACAAAAGAAGAUCAGCGGUUCUACCAGAUCUAGUGGGAUUCCUGGGACUGAGAAGAGAGUCCUUAGACGGUUCACAGAAAGUUACCGAAUGAUCACCUAUCAGAGUUUUACCAGAUUGCAUAAUCCUCAAGGAGUUUUCCUUCAAACUUGUAGUCAUUUGUAUCUUAGCUUCAGGACAGGAUAGCAAGUGGAGGAGUUUGCCUUUCAGACAAUAAGCAUCAUUGUACAGCUUUAAGAAAAAACCCAUCUGUGCACUCAUUAAAGAACUUGACCUUUAUUGUGCUCCUGAAUGGACAAGAUUCAAAACUCUUUUGACCGAUAUAUUAGUGUUGCUGUACUGUUAAUUAUACCUGUAUCUUCUCUUUCUGAAGGUUUGGGUUCCCAGAGUAUUUGAAUUUUUCCAAAUUCUUAAAUUAUGACUCCAAGUAUACAAUUCCAGCAGAAAGAUAUUGUGCUUAAUGUUUUUUUUAUUAUUAUUUUUCACUGAACCCUUAAAACUUUGAGCCCAGAGUUGCUAUGUAUUGAUAGCUGAUGCAUCUGGAAUCCUUAUGUGCACAUUUAUUUUCUUUAAAUGUUGUGGUUCUCAGGACAGAACCAGGAUUUUCUACUCUCUGAAAAGAUUUGUUGGAGUUAAUAAAUAAAUAACCUUCUAUCUGUCUCUGAUUUAAGAUUUUUAUAAAUAAGUGAACCAGCUGACUGCAACUUUGGUUGACACAGCCAAAUUAAUUCAGUUGUUAUCAGUGAAAAAUAAGCUGUUUAUGUUUGGUAGGUUACAUUAACUAUCGUCUGCUACUUCCAACCUAUGUCCAUAAAACAUUUCUGAGUGCAUGUGAUAUUUUUUUUUUUAAUGGUUAGGUUGCUCACUUAAUGCAUGUGGCGGCUUCUUCAGAAAAGAGCAAUUUUUAAUUAUUUUGAUUAGCUACUCAGCUUCCAUGUUUUCAGUGUGCUUAUUAACUUGGCAUCUUAAAAAUGGAAGAAAAGAAGAAGAAAAUGUAUCCUUACAAUCCCAAUCAGCCUGCCUCUGCCCUCCCAAACUUUCUCCAGAGUUCUUCCUCUCCUCCAGCAUUUGCUAUCUCCUCCACUGCUGUGACUGGCUUUGAGUUCUGGACAUAUUGCUUGCCUUCUGAUUUCUGUUGUUCAAAAUGGGCAAAAGAUUGUUUCUACCUCUACUUUCAGAAUAAAAGAGAUGCAUAUAUGAGCCUUACUCUUCUGUCCAGGCGGUGUAUAGGAAUUCUACUUCCUUCAACUUUUCAAAAGGACGGAUAACAGCAGGACAGGGGGAAAUGAUUUUAAGCUGAAGAAGGGAAGAUUUUGAUCGGAUGUCAGGUGGAAGUUCUUCACUAUAAGAGUGGUGAGGUGCUGAAACAGGCUGCCCAGAGAGGUUGUGGAUGCCUCGUCCCUGGAGGUGUUCAAGGCCAGGCUGGAUAGGGCCCUGGGCAGCCUGGGCUAGUAUUAAACGUGGAGCUUGAUGGCCCUGCAUGCAGCAGGGGGUUGGAGCUUCAUGAUGCUUGAGGUCCCUUCCAACCCAGGCCAUUCUAUGAUUUUUCAAAAGCAUGGUUUAAACAUGCUUUUAAAAGUUCAAAGCAGAGAGAGGAAAAGAAGGAACAGAGAUUGCAUAAGGCUCUAACAAACAAAAGGAAAAAAAAAAAAAAACACGUAUUUUUCCCUCAUUUUGUAUUUCUUACUCCAAGAAGUGUGGCUUGACCGUGUAUUUAUGCACUUAAUCUCUACACAUACAUCUACAUAUAGCAUUUAAAGAGCCUUUAUAGCAUAUUCAUGCCAGUGAAGGAAAUACCUUUUAGUUGCUCAGCAUGCUUUUUUUCUUAACAAGAGGUUAUCUAUAAUGGUUUGUUAAAUGACUAAGAAAAAAAUUCUCCAGAUAUAUUAGUCAAUUUUCUAACUGGGAAAAAAGAUGAACAUUAAAUGGGUCCUAUGGCAAGAUCUGCUUAGCAGGACAUAAGAUGUAAAUCACUUUCUCUUCUUCGGUUUAAGAGGACAGUUGAUAAUUUUUGUUGACCCAAAUUUAGGAUUCUUCAACACAAAGCUUGAGAUAUGAAAGGCUGCAGAAGAAUUCUCUGAAGUAGUUUAGAGAGAACGGUGUCAAUGGUGGGAUGGCUAGAGAUAUUGUUCUUGGAAACAUCUGCUUUGUCAGUGGGAGUAAGAAGGACUUUGUUGAAAAACAGAAGUACUGUCUGGCAGUUUGGUUUUAAUAAACAUUUACUCUUUGUUAGAUCUUCCCCAGGGCUGCUCUAGAUUAGCCUGUAUAAAAGUUGCUGAACUGUAUGAAAUGUGUAGCCCUCUUUCAACAUCAUUUGCGUAGACAGAGCUCUGUCAAGGAAUGUCUUCUGUGAGUGGAAUCUGUUUUCAGUAAGCGAUGGUGUUUAAGUACAUAACAGGAAACUAAAGACAUUUCUACUUCUUGGAAUCAUAAAAUCUAGUGGACAAACAGGAUUCUGAUUUAUUUGUACUAAUAGGCCCAAUCCUGAAUGGCCUAUGUGGGUAAUUUUUGAGAUGCUUUUCUGACUUGAAAAAAAAACUUAGAGCACCAAUAGGUAUUACUUCCCAAGAUGUGUCAGAUUAUUCAGUACCAUUUGAAUCAAUAUAACUUGUCUCCUUUAUUUUUCCAUUGUUUUAUUUUCCUGCUCGCACACUUCAACUCAAAAUACUGUCUGGAGAGAUUUUACCUCCAGGUAUCUGCUUUGGAUGGUUAUCAGCUGUGAUUACCCAUUGCAGUAGAGAAAUAUUGGGUAACUGCUCCAAAAGGCACUGACAUGUGGUACUUCAGCCUCUGGAUGUAACAGUUGCCAUGGGAAUCUGAAUGUUUAACCCCCAAGUUCCUUGUGAAAGUAUACCUUCCUUGUGGCAAAGGUGUUUCUAUAGCAACAUUUACUGGAGGCCAUAGAACUUACACAGGAUGUGCCAUAAGACUUCUUUUGCACAUUAUCUGUCUUAAAUAUGUCAAUAUGGGUUUAGUUAUAUUAAGCUAGGUAAUGAUGAGGAGAAAUGUUUCCCUAGACUAUCUUCCUGUGACUAGACUCUCCAGCAGUUAUUGAACACAAUUCAUCAGAGUUUUACUUUAUUCAAGAUUUUCAUUCUGUGCUCUUACAUUAUUUCUGAUGGGGUGCACUGCUUUUCAGCAGCAGUCAUUCUCUCAAUAAUAUUGGCCGAUUGUAUUAACUUCAGAUAAAAUGUUAUAUCAGCCUCACUUCUGGUCCUUUAAUAAACCAAAUAGUACUUUUGAUUUCUGAGAUGUCUUAGGAAGCUGAAAAACACCACUAACAUCACUUUGGUAUAUGUAAGGAAGUUACUAGCAAAUAUAAUGGAUUGAGGAGUUAAGUAUGGGUUUUUAUUGUUUCUUUUGAUUCACUAUAGAUCACUGUCACUUCUGAUAAUAGCUUUCACCUUAAAAAAUGAGAUGACACUUCCCAAAUUAAAAUGGGCCAUGUUUCCUUUCUGAGAGUCAUCCAUUGAUGUCGGCUUCCAUUUACAGCUGAGCCUGAGCAGGCAGCGGUGUUCUUGCUUUGUAAUAAAUAAUUUUGGGUUAUCAUCAUUGUUUUAUUACUGUGCUAUCAGCCUUUAUAUUUAUUCCCAUCCAUCAACAAAGGGAUUCUUGUUGCUGCCAGGUAUGUGGGCCCGUUUUGUUUCCCUGCCUGUUUCAAGACACUGGUGUAGGCUUUCAUCAGCCAUUAUUUUGCUAUCAGUAUUGGGACCAGCUACAGUAUGCGUUAUUAUUAAUGUCAAUCAUUUUCUGCUGGUGAGGGUACAAAAGUUAGCUUCAGCCAAGACUGUGCUACUUUUAACCAGAGUCCUAAUCAGAUAAUCUUCAUUGGCCAGGGGAAAGCAUAGAAGAGAAAAUGAGAUGAGCUACAAGAAUUAGGACAAAUAAAGGCAUUUGUGACAAAUUAUCUCAGACUACAAAUAGAGAUUGAUUUGUUUGGGUGAAAAUGAAUUAGUGCUCGGAAACAUAAGUAUCAGACUCAUCAAGUUUAAGGGAAGGGAAGAUAUGUUUAGAACUGGUGUUAGCUUUUCUUCCAGCAUUAACCCUAAGUUGAACAUAGAGUCUGAAAUUAGUAUUGUGGAAGCUUAUUACAUAUUCAGUCUUCUUGAGUAAAGAUCAUCUGUUCUCUCUUGGAAGUUGGAUGAAAUGCACAUUUUCAGAGUGAGAAGCAAACUGAGUCACAGCUCGUAAAAUUACUACUGCUUUCACCUUAUGCUCACUGCCACUAUUGAGUUUGGUACCAGCAACUCUUCUGCUCUCUGCAAAAUUUUAUUCACUAGGUCUACAUGAGACGUGCUCUAUCAGUCUGCUCCAUUAGAAUACUUAGAGCUGUUUGUCAGUAUGUGAUUAAUGCUAAUUUUUAAUUUUUACUAUUAGAAGCACUGAGAGGGGAGAGGAAAAUAUUUCCAUCCAAGACCUGUUGGAACUUGGAGUAGAUCAUUUAAAAGAGCGUGACUUUCUUCUGCUUAAUAACAUAGGACCUGUUCAAUUUAAAGCUUUAAAUGUGAAAAAAUCAUGCACACACUACUCUUCGGUAUUAAAUUUUCUAUUUGGAAAAAUAAGGAAUUCAGUCAAAUAUGGAAGCUAUAUUUCCAGGAGAUUCUCAAUGUGAAGCACCUGAAGUGAUUCAAGUACUUCUUAACAAGCAUUCACUGCAAUGCGUAAGUUAUGUGACCGCACAAAAUCUUUUGAUCCUUAUGUGUACUAUUUGGUGCUCAGUUUCAAAAUGUCUCAAAAUUAGAACAUUUGUUUAUUUAGCUAGAUUAUUAAGCAAUGAGAUUUGCCAAGACUGUAAGCAAGCCAUAAAUGUUUUUCUCUGUGUAUCCUUCCAAGGGCCAAAUCUCACAGACUGCAAGAGUUAACAUAUUAAGCCUGUUUACCUUAAAAAGGAUGAGAAGGGCUUUGUGUUUGUACCUGCUCUCCUUCCUGUAUUUCUUUGGUUAAUUUCCAUCAAUAACUUUAGUUCCUUAAAAUAAAUAAUAUCUGAGUAGUUCUAAAUAAUCAGUUCAACCCUUUUGUAAUUGAAUUGUGCCUUGUCAAAUGAAAUCAGUUAACUCGAGCAUCUUGGAAAAAGUCAAAUAUAUUAAUGCUGGUCUUCACUCCUUCCAUGGGUCUUCUCUUCUGUGACAUGAAGCUGUACGCUGGAUAUAUAGCAGGCUCUCAGGGCACCAUUUAUUUCACUUUGGUUAAGCCUGCUCACUCUCUUGUUUCUGAAUAGCUAACUCUCUGAUACUGCCAUUCCAUGUCCAAGAAUAAAGAUGAGGCACCUUGUUUUCAUCUUGCAGACAGAGAGAAUAUGUCUGCUUCUUCACUUCCUCCUUCUUCUCUCCCUUUACCUUCUGCCUCUAGAAGAAUCUUGGGGUUUUUGUACCUUGAUUCACUGUUCCUACCCAUGCUUGUUCCUGGAGCGCAGUCCUCUGUCUGAAGACAGAAAUCAUGAGAAAGGAUAGCAAGGCAGUUUUUCUUCAUAACUUACAGGAAAAAGAAGUCUUGAUGAUAUAUAUAAUUAUAUAUUUUCCGUUGUGUUAGAAGAGAGAAUGCUAGAAUUAAAUAAAGGGUGUGGUGUGAAAUCUGCAGUUUGGGAACCCUCGCUUGAGAUUGGAUGAACUCUGUGCUCCUAAUAUGUCCUAGGAGCAGUCUUCAUGAAAUGGAGGGACAAAAUGUGUGGUGAUGAGCAGUGUUUCUCCCCUUUCUCCUUAGCUGUUAGCAGGCUUUCCUUGCCCAGUGAAGGGCCUGAACGCAGCUGUCAUUUUUCCUCUGUCACUAAGUAGUCCUGUACCUGAAGAAAUGUGACAACGUAGGGAGGAUGCCACAAGUGCUUUCGGCUGCAGCAUGGAAUCCUGACCUUUCCUAUGGGAUUUAAUUUGGAGUAAGGGUCUAGUUGAAGGGAGAAAAUGCACUUUUUUAUGGCAAAAUUACCAUUUAAUUCUUGUGGAGUUUUUGUGGGAAAUCUCACGCAGUGUCUCCCUGGAGACAGGCAUAACACAAGUAAUUUUUUAGUAAUGAACGUUCCAUAGAGCCAUCCGUAUUUACUGCGUAAUUAAAGUAGAAAUUUUUACUGUAAGUUUAUUUUUGUAUCCUGCAGCAAACUCUAAGAAUUUCUGUCAGCUUCAAAAUCAGUAAGACUUCCUACAAGACUGAAAAUUUCUUUCUUCUUUCCUGCAAAAGGACAGGACUUAGAUAAUAUUUGCCUGAAGAUAACAUUCCUGAUGGGGGAAUGCAUACUUAUACAUUUGUAUCUAAAUAAGAAAGAAUAAAAUUGAAACUGAGAUUUCAGAUAGGCCGAUAUGGGAGAAUGAGCAUUCUUCUUGUUAAGCAUUCAAAAUUUAUAGGACUAAUGUGUAAAAAUGUGAAAUGUAUUGUAGUUAGAAUUUGGCACAUAGUAACUGAUAACAGCAUUGCAAUUUGAUGAUAGAUUUUUCUGUCAACACACUUUUAUUGUGACCAUCCUUUCUUUCAUUCCUAGCUCUCAUUUAUGUGAAAUAAGAGAGUGAUGACACUUAACACUGUUUGUGCAUAUGCAACAAGGAAUUGCUCAUUGGGGUGAAUAUGGGUAUACUUAUACAUACUUAAUAUCUUGGCAAAAUAAUCCUAAGGCCUCCACUAUUUCCAUGGUAGCAGUAUUCUUAUGGUGACAAGACAGAGGCACAGUUCAUCUGUACUAUUCCUCUGGUAAAUCUUCAGUGCGGGACUAAAAAGUUCUCUAGGGACCAG